rnacentral:rRNA from 1 species
AUGAACGCUGGCGGCGUGCUUAACACAUGCAAGUCGAACGAUUAAGACGGCUUCGGCCGUGUAUAGAGUGGCGAACGGGUGAGUAACACGUGACCAACCUGCCCCGCGCUCCGGGACAACCGCUGGAAACGGCGGCUAAUACCGGAUGCUCCGGGGAGGCCCCAUGGCCUCCCCGGGAAAGCCCCGACGGCGCGGGAUGGGGUCGCGGCCCAUUAGGUAGACGGCGGGGUAACGGCCCACCGUGCCCGCGAUGGGUAGCCGGACUGAGAGGUCGACCGGCCACAUUGGGACUGAGAUACGGCCCAGACUCCUACGGGAGGCAGCAGUGGGGAAUUUUGCGCAAUGGGGGAAACCCUGACGCAGCAACGCCGCGUGCGGGACGAAGGCCUUCGGGUUGUAAACCGCUUUCAGCAGGGAAGAUUCAGACGGUACCUGCAGAAGAAGCUCCGGCUAACUACGUGCCAGCAGCCGCGGUAAUACGUAGGGGGCGAGCGUUAUCCGGAUUCAUUGGGCGUAAAGCGCGCGUAGGCGGCCGCCUAAGCGGAACCUCUAAUCCCGGGGCUCAACCUCGGGCCGGGUUCCGGACUGGGCGGCUCGAGUGCGGUAGAGGCAGGCGGAAUUCCCGGUGUAGCGGUGGAAUGCGCAGAUAUCGGGAAGAACACCGAUGGCGAAGGCAGCCUGCUGGGCCGCCACUGACGCUGAGGCGCGAAAGCUGGGGGAGCGAACAGGAUUAGAUACCCUGGUAGUCCCAGCCGUAAACGAUGGACGCUAGGUGUGGGGGGAUCAUCCUCCCGUGCCGCAGCCAACGCAUUAAGCGUCCCGCCUGGGGAGUACGGCCGCAAGGCUAAAACUCAAAGGAAUUGACGGGGGCCCGCACAAGCAGCGGAGCAUGUGGCUUAAUUCGAAGCAACGCGAAGAACCUUACCAGGUCUUGACAUCCGAUGCAUAACACAGAGAUGUGUGAAAUCCUUCGGGACAUCGAGACAGGUGGUGCAUGGUUGUCGUCAGCUCGUGUCGUGAGAUGUUGGGUUAAGUCCCGCAACGAGCGCAACCCCCGUCCCGUGUUGCCAGCAUUGAGUUGGGGACUCGCGGGAGACUGCCGGCGUCAAGCCGGAGGAAGGUGGGGACGACGUCAAGUCAUCAUGCCCCUUAUGCCCUGGGCUGCACACGUGCUACAAUGGCCGGUACAGAGGGUUGCCACCCCGCGAGGGGGAGCGGAUCCCGGAAAGCCGGUCCCAGUUCGGAUCGCAGGCUGCAACCCGCCUGCGUGAAGUCGGAGUUGCUAGUAAUCGCGGAUCAGCAUGCCGCGGUGAAUACGUUCCCGGGCCUUGUACACACCGCCCGUCACACCACCCGAGUCGUCUGCACCCGAAGCCGCCGGCCGAACCCUUCUGGGGCGGAGGCGUCGAAGGUGUGGAGGGUAAGGGGGGUG